UGGGGAAUUUGGACAAUGGGCGAAAGCCUGAUCCAGCAAUGCCGCGUGUGUGAAGAAGGCCUUCGGGUUGUAAAGCACUUUUGUCCGGAAAGAAAUCCUUGGCUCUAAUACAGUCGGGGGAUGACGGUACCGGAAGAAUAAGCACCGGCUAACUACGUGCCAGCAGCCGCGGUAAUACGUAGGGUGCAAGCGUUAAUCGGAAUUACUGGGCGUAAAGCGUGCGCAGGCGGUUUGCUAAGACCGAUGUGAAAUCCCCGGGCUCAACCUGGGAACUGCAUUGGUGACUGGCAGGCUAGAGUAUGGCAGAGGGGGGUAGAAUUCCACGUGUAGCAGUGAAAUGCGUAGAGAUGUGGAGGAAUACCGAUGGCGAAGGCAGCCCCCUGGGCAAUACUGACGCUCAUGCACGAAAAGCGUGGGGAGCAAACAGGAUUAGAUACCCUGGUAGUCCACGCCCUAAAACGAUGUCAACUAGUUGUUGGGGAUUCAUUUCCUUAGUAACGUAGCUAACGCGUGAAGUUGACCGCCUGGGGAGUACGGUCGCAAGAUUAAAACUCAAAGGAAUUGACGGGGUCAUA
rnacentral:rRNA from 1 species